GUUACGUAUGAAAACAUAAGGUUAUGUUUGUGUAGAAUUUCCAAAGUGUCAGCUAUCGACAUAAUUGAAUGCGUGCUUUUACUGAUAUGAGGAGUUUAACACGAACUUUUUUUUUAGUUCAAUUAUUUUUAAUAACAGUAACCUUUGCUUCAAAGGGUGACAAGUCACAGUUUUAUAAUCAUUGCAUUUUAAAGUGUCAUACUGAAAAUUGUAAGAAUGACAAAGAAUUCAGACAUAAUCCUUCCAUGGACGUACAAUUGCUCUUAUGGUCCUGUAAGGAUGACUGCAGUUAUAACUGCAUGUGGGAUACCGUGGAAUACUUUAGAGCCCACGGAUUGCAGGUUCCACAAUUUCAUGGAAAGUGGCCAUUCGUGAGAAUUCUUGGACUGCAGGAACCUGCAUCUGUUUUAUUCUCAUUACUUAACUUUCAAAUACAUUUUACAAUGUACAGAAAAUUUCAAAGGGAAGUAAGAUCAUCAGCUCCAAUGUCCAUGGUUUGGACUUACUUCAGUCUGAUCUGUCUGACGGGAUGGUUCUGGUCUACAGUCUUUCAUGCACGGGACAAGCCAUUUACUGAAGCAAUGGAUUAUUCCUGUGCUUUCACUAUUGUUCUUACACUUUUUUACUGCAUGAUACUCAGACUAAUCUACAAAAAUAACAAAGCAUUUAUUGUGAUGACAUGCUUGUACAUAAGUAUCCUAUAUACGCAUUUGUCGCAUUUGUGGUCUGGCACUAUUAACUACGGAUAUAAUAUGAAACUCAACAUUUUAUUUGGAUUUUUCACAUUCGCCAUAACAAUGUUCUGGUGGUACCGUAAUAGACAAAAAUUGGCCCAUAUCUAUCUAGUAGGCUGGUUCAAUGUCUUAACGGUGUCUGUAACAUUACUUGAGUUGGCUGAUUUUCCUCCAAUUUUUUGGGUUUUCGAUGCUCACUCAUUAUGGCAUGCCUCUACAGCACCGCUUGCAGUACUUCUAUACAGAUUUAUUAUUCUAGACUGCCUGUACUUAAGAAGACAGCACAGCAAGACGGUACUUAAUAUGGACUGAAUCCAAUAAAAAGGAGAUUGGCAUCAGUUUGGUUUACCCAGUACAGGCGAUCAGAGAAUACGUCUUUUCCGAGAAGACAAUCCAUAUUCGCAAAAGACGUAUCAUUCGCCAAUGAAAGAAAAACAGAAAGGGAAGACGCUGAACGAUGGCGUUGAUCCAUACAGCACAAAGCACUCAGAUAUGAUUAAAAAACAUUGCUGAAAUAUAUAAAUCUGGUUGUUACAUUUUAGCAAUAUUUCUAAAAUGUAUCUGAACGUUUUGUGAUGUACAGGGAACUUUUGAAUAACAAAGACUUUUCCUGCGACAAUUGUACUAUAUUGGAUCUUUGCUUACAAAAUAUUUCAGACGGUCUUUUAUCAACAGUUUAUCACACAAGUACAAUUUUUUACUGAAAAAAGAAAGAUAUGCUUUAAUAAAUCCGGUUCUCACGGAUACAAAGAUUUUUUUGUUUAGCAGCCAAGAAUCAUUCAUCCGUUUCCUGGUGCUCCGCUACGGAAUAACCGAAAUAGGAACCAUCCAAUCCUCUCUUGAUAACAGGUAUUCUUGUCUCGAGAUUAAAUGAACGCACACCGUAAUGUAUAUUGAGUUGAAGAAACACGAAAAAUACGUAUUUCUUCAUGACUCUUUGUGAGCGUGGUUUGUAAAAGCAAAGAGCCCAAGGAACACUAAUAAAUAGACUAAACAG